rnacentral:tRNA from 1 species
GCCUAGACAGCUCAGUCGGUUAGAGUGUGGUCCUGAUAAUACCAAGGCUGCAGGUUCAAUCCCCAUAUGGGACA